rnacentral:rRNA from 1 species
GCACUCCCGGGGCGUCUCUAUCUCAUUACGAGAGGAGGCGCACCUAUAGCGUACACGCUGAUACCCGAAAGAUGGUGAACUAUGCCUGGCCAGGACGAAGCCAGGGGAAACCCUGGUGGAGGUCCGCAGCGAUUCUGACGUGCAAAUCGAUCGUCGGAGCUGGGUUUAGGGGCGAAAGACCAAUCGAACCAUCUAGUAGCUGGUUCCCUCUGAAGUUUCCCUCAGGAUAGCUUGCGCUCGGACGGAACGAGUCUCAUCCGGUAGAGCGAAUGAUUAGAGGCCUUGGGGUCGAAACGACCUCAACCUAUUCUCAAACUCCAAAUAGAUGAGAGCCCUGGCUUUCUUGAAUUAUGAAGCCACGGGUAUCCGGAUCAGAGUGCCAAGUGGGCCAAUUUUGGUAAGCAGAACUGGCGCUGUGGGAUGAACCAAACGCGGAGUUAAGGCGCCUCAAUCGACGCUCAUGUGAUACCAUGAAAGGCGUUGGUUGCUUAAGACAGCAG